ensembl:lncRNA
GUCGAAUCUUCCACCAUCUUGGACCAAGCUGAUUCUAACAAGCUUUUGUCAUGUCCUACGGCCCUAUCAUUCUUUCAAAGGCUGUGCCCUGCCCCCUUCCAUCCCGUUUCAAAAGGACUCCCACAAUUGAGGUGCAACAAGUAAUUCCAGCCUUGAUGGAUUGUUAAGAAAAUAACAGGAAUGAAAAUUUUUACACCACCUGGCAUUUAGAAGUCCUUAAACAUACGAUAGCUUUCUUCCUUAGUUAUUCUGCAGGUUUGUUGUGAGGUUUGAAUGGCACAGUGUACAUGAAAGUUCCUUGCAUUUUGCCUGGUCCACAAGUAGAAGUUGUGUGUUAUGGAUGCUGUGGGUUGCCACCCAGAUCCCCUCGAAACCAUCAGCACGGAGUGGUGAUAACAGAGCUCACAGCUGAGUCUCCCUCUGGAAAUUGUUCUAGACUAAAGACAGCAGCCUUGACCAAGGUCAUAUUCCUUACCAGGGUGGUUCACACCCAAGGAAUGCUCAGUGUGUGCGUUAAAGUGGCCUUUAAAAGGCCCAACCCAAUUGACUCACUUAAGUCAACUCUGCAGGUUUAUUCCAACUUCAGAGCUCCCCGUGGGAUGACUGAGGCUUUGUUGCAGCUGACUCACACCCCUUCUUCCCCCCCUCCCUGCCCAUUUCUGCUUUCUUCACUUCCCCGCAGCUGUCAUUCAGAGAGCACUUCCCAAUGAACUUGCUUCAAGCAAACCUUCUCAGAGUCAGCUUCCUGGGGAAUUGCCCUGCAACACUUCAGUGUGGGUUCUUUCUUAAAGCCCCAGCUCCCUGCCUCUUUCUUCCCCGCCUGCAAACUGAGGACCUGGAACACGCACAUUUGUCUCUUACCGGUUUCACUGGACGAGAAUAAAGAUAACUGGGGCAAAAAGAAAAAACCCUAAUACCUCAAUCUCACUUUCCUCCCCUCUAAAUUGAGAUUAUUACUGUGCUAUAUCUUUCCAGAAUUUUUUAGGCAAAUCAGUAAGAUGUGGAAGUGAGAACACUUUGGGUAAAAAGAUAAAUAAUCUACAAAAAUUGAAGGAAUUACGAAAUGCUGCAGAAUUGACUGACAGUGCUACCUCCAGAGGGAAAGGUCCAAGUGUGGAGAGCCAGAGUCCUAGAUUCCCAUCCUGGCUCUAUCAGUACCUCAUUUCCUGUCAACAUAAUGA